rnacentral:rRNA from 1 species
AUUCCAGCUCCAAUAGCGUAUAUUAAAGUUGUUGCGGUUAAAAAGCUCGUAGUUGGAUUUCUGCUGAGGAUGACCGGUCCGCCCUCUGGGUGAGUAUCUGGCUCAGCCUUGGCAUCUUCCUGAAGAACGUAUCUGCACUUGACUGUGUGGUGCGGUAUUUAGGACAUUUACUUUGAGGAAAUUAGAGUGUUUCAAGCAAGCGCACGCCUUGAAUACAUUAGCAUGGAAUAAUAAGAUAGGACUAUGGUACUAUUUUGUUGGUUUGUGCACCAUGGUAAUGAUUAAUAGGGACAGUUGGGGGUAUUCGUAUUCCAUUGUCAGAGGUGAAAUUCUUGGAUUUAUGGGAGACGAACUACUGCGAAAGCAUUUACCAAGGAUGUUUUCAUUA